UUAAACCGACACAAAGAAAAUAACUCAUCUUUUGGGAAUCUAAUUAAGCUAAUUAACAAUUCUAAAAGUUAGAGUUAAUGAUAAGAAAAAACAAACAAUAAAUAAAGACAAUUAAAUAAUUUAAAGGUAAAGGAGAAAUGAAUUUGGGCCCCCUUUUGGGCCAAUUUUACUGAAUUUUUUUUGGGCUUUAACCCAAAUCCCGUUUUUGCAUAUACACCGGUCGUAUAUCGGUGUAUAUUGGUCGUUUCUUAGCUCUUUCCAUGUAUUUCUUGCUCCCCUUGCCUUGUAUAUCAACUUCCAAAAUCUAAAUAAGGAUGAAGGCCGACUCGAGUAGGAGGUUGGGCUGAUUAGCCCAACAUAAUGCAAGGAGGAGAGUCCAUGAAUGGAGUCAAGUAUCAUGCAUACAAAGAAAGGAGUAAUGAAUUAAUAGUAGCUCAAAAUUGUAAAAAAAAUAAAAUCAACCAAAAGCAACAUAAGGAAAACUAUAUAAAAUAGCAUAUAUCCAACUCAACCUUAAUCAAUGAUUUGCUCAAACCACUAAAUUUCAAAGCAUAUACCUACUGGAGCAUUAUAUCAGCAAAUGCACUUAUGAUUCCAUUUUUUAAGAAAACAUUCACCAAACAAAAAAUAACAAGGUUUGAAAUCUUGACUUAAGCACCGACAUUUAAAUAAGAAUUUAACAAGUAAUGCUAAUUUAGAAAAGCACAUUAACCUUAGUGACUUAUUAGCAAGGAAUGAGGCAAGCAGACUACUAUCUAUCAAUUAUAAAACAGAUAUGCGAAAGCUGAAGAGAUACUAUUGUUAUAUAUGAGUUACGGCAAUUAUUGAGCAACAAAUAUAUUAGUAAGUAUCUAUAUAAAUAGAACAUUUCUUACACCAUAAUAAACGGGGAAAUCUAAACUAAAACAUGAAAUGAUAGAUUUCUGAAGUGUUGAUAUCAAACUAGAUAUCACAAAUCGCUACAUAGAGAAUCACCCGAACUAAACAAAGAGACUUUGACUAAGUACGAAUCAAGAGCAAAAUAUUAUCCUCUACAACUUAAUGUCGCUGGUCUAACUUCACAUCAUAGCCAGAAUUAACAACAGUAGCCUAUAGAAACAUUUUUAAAGAUAAUAAAGAACUACAACUCAUACAAUGAGAGAAUAAACCAAACAGAUGAGGAUAGAUGCUGAAAAUGCAGUAAAGAGAAGCUGAUUGCAACAUGCUCGAUAAAAAAAAAAAAACUAGACUUAAAAAAUGGACGUUUACGGAGAACGUGACUUUGUAAUUUUGAACAAAAGCAAAGCUAUCAUCUUAAAGCAUUCUAGCUAUAGUAAUAUCAUUCUAGAGUGAGAAAACAAGAUACAAAAUUAGAGAAAAACUAUCCUACAUGGGAAAGACAUCACUGUAAGGCUCAAAUGCUUUCAAUUGGUAUAGUAACAUAAAAAAAAAAAAAACAAAUCAAAUAUUUGGGUGUGAAUCUAGACUGAUAAAACAUACAAAAGUGAGCCACCAUUCUAUCAAAAAUUUCCACUCAAUAACCGGUUCUUCAUAACUCCAAUCAUCAACAAUAUGAACAAGAAUUAUAAUGCACUCAAUCAAUAUCAUUUCCCAACAGAAUGCUCAAGCAAGAGGACACAUAAUAUUGAUCAACCACCCCCAAAGUAUAAAUUUGCCUCAAGAGUUCAACAGUAAACUUUUUAUUAGAAAUAAAACUCCAACUAAAACGAGUUAAGGUAAAAAUGAGGUUACCUUUUCAGGGGCAGCGAACUUGGAGCAAACGAGUUGGAAAAUAGCAACUUUCACCACAAAAUCCAACUACGACUAGCAAACAAGGAAUCUGGGCAGAACUAGAGUGACUACCUUUCGGAAUUUAAGGACUAAAUGUGAAAUUCUAAAGUAUAAAACGACUAUUUGCCGAAAACUCAAACUCAAACUAUGUCAAAAUCCAAUUUCCAAAGAAAAAACUCUCUUUGUAAGCUAUUUUCGUAUAUGUAAAAUCCCUGAUCUUUUUUUUUUUUUUCAACAGUGAAAGAACAUAGGUAUUUAUAGGGGAGAUUCGAAUUGAAAAAAAAAGGGGGGGAAAACGGGUUGAAAAGAUGGAUCAUAAUAGAAUUCGAAAUUCAAAAUCUUGAAGAGAUAAGAAAAAAAAUAAUCUGUCCAUUGUUGAUUGUACCAAUUUUCAACGGAAAAGAGGGGAGAGGGGAAGUGGAGGACGCGAUUUGCUGCGGGAUUUCCGGUCUGAGUGACUGUCGAUGUUGACGUUUACUAACCUUCUGGGUUUCGUCUGAAGAAGAAGAAGAAGAAACGAAGUGGGGUCAGGUCGGAUUGUUUUUGGGUUCUUGCGAUGAAGGAGAAGAGUAUAGGGGUAGGGCUGCUGGGUACUGUAU
rnacentral:lncRNA from 1 species